GGGUAGCCCUACUUCGCCUCGAUUU
rnacentral:rRNA from 1 species